rnacentral:rRNA from 1 species
UACGUAGGUGGCGAGCGUUGUCCGGAUUUACUGGGCGUAAAGGGAGCGUAGGCGGACUUUUAAGUGAGAUGUGAAAUGCCCGGGCUCAACUUGGGUGCUGCAUUUCAAACUGGAAGUCUAGAGUGCAGGAGAGGAGAAUGGAAUUCCUAGUGUAGCGGUGAAAUGCGUAGAGAUUAGGAAGAACACCAGUGGCGAAGGCGAUUCUCUGGACUGUAACUGACGCUGAGGCUCGAAAGCGUGGGGAGCAAACAGGAUUAGAUA